rnacentral:snoRNA from 17 species
CUGUGAUUAGCGAUGCGUCUUCCACCUAACGAGGCUGAUGAUUAUGACCCGAUGCACGUCUUACAUAUUUAUACUACACCAACGAAUGUGGAUGAGUC